GUUUGAUGUGACCAGUAGGCAAGGCUGAUAGCCGUCGAUUGUGGUGUGACUCAAUUUGAAUUGUUUCAGUAAAGCGGCGCAAGAUCACGUUUUAUGAGGAUACAUUUGGCAAGCUGCAUCUAUGGUUCAGACGCAGCGCUCAGUGAGCGCGUUGAGAAACGUGAAGGGGGAGAGAUUUUUCUUGUGUUUCUUUUGUAGUUUUCGUUUGU